rnacentral:rRNA from 1 species
ACACUCCUGCGGGAGGCAGCAGUGGGGAAUAUUGCACAAUGGGCGCAAGCCUGAUGCAGCCAUGCCGCGUGUAUGAAGAAGGCCUUCGGGUUGUAAAGUACUUUCAGCGGGGAGGAAGGCAAUACGGUUAAUAACCGUGUUGAUUGACGUUACCCGCAGAAGAAGCACCGGCUAACUCCGUGCCAGCAGCCGCGGUAAUACGGAGGGUGCAAGCGUUAAUCGGAAUUACUGGGCGUAAAGCGCACGCAGGCGGUCUGUCAAGUCGGAUGUGAAAUCCCCGGGCUCAACCUGGGAACUGCAUUCGAAACUGGCAGGCUUGAGUCUUGUAGAGGGGGGUAGAAUUCCAGGUGUAGCGGUGAAAUGCGUAGAGAUCUGGAGGAAUACCGGUGGCGAAGGCGGCCCCCUGGACAAAGACUGACGCUCAGGUGCGAAAGCGUGGGGAGCAAACAGGAUUAGAAACCCCUGUAGUCCCA